rnacentral:lncRNA from 1 species
AGCCAUAGAUUGCCUGUGGUGUGGCUGCUGGUAGGAGUGUUCCUGUGUUCCACAAAUAGCUGUGGGGAGGUUUCCAAGCCCUGCUGAGUCUGUGCCUUGCUGCACCUACCGUGUGCUCCCUGACCUCCAUGCUCAGUUUGAUCUCUCCAAGGUGUCCUCUGCUACCCCUGAGCUCAGCACUGAAUUUCUCUAGGGUCUGCUGAAUGAAGGAAAGGGGAAACUACCCCAGGCUUUGGGCAAUAUGUCACAAAUGACAUCCCAGGAGUGGUUUGGAUUAGGUAGCCAGCUGAAAUUUCCAAAGCACGUAUUUUCUUACCACGCUGCUGCGACCCAUCUCCAGGUACUUCUCACUUGGAUUAUCCCUAACACCUUCUUAUUUUGUUUCUUUCAUGAAAAGUAAAGUUUAUUAAUGCAUUGGCUCAGUAAAUCUUUCUCAAGUCCCUCUGCAUGUGUGCACAUGCACAGAAAGUAAAGCAAUUUACCCACUAAAAAAAGACAACUGGGCACUCUUGAACACAAUCCAACAACUCUGUGGUUCCUUGUGCUGAACAACAGACAUUCUAUAUCACCUAAUAUUAACAAACAAAAGACUUUUUCCCACGCCAUUAUAUAUUUACUUUACCCUACUCUUCAAGCUUGGCAUGUUGGCUUCCUUAGACUAUUUCAUCCCAGAUGCAGCUCGGUGCCAGAAUUGCUGGAACAAAAUGCAGUGGGUGGACAAACCUGUCCUGCUGCAUUGCUUCUGGCCUUUUAAAAACAGAAAGCAUUCAUCUGACUCAUUACUGUAAAUGUGCUAACAGAGCAUACCAGUGAUGGUUUUCUGACUGAAAGUGCCUGCAUCUGCUCAAAAGGUUAACACGGGUGCAGAUCAAGUGCAUAUCAUGACACAUUUGUUGGUAUCAGCCAGGGGCAAAUAUUAAGUAGCUUAUCUCUUAAGGAGAGAGAUAAGGAGGAAGGGUUGUGAGGUGCUUGCCAAUAAAUGCAUAUUCAUCACAACUGUCGCUCCUGUG